rnacentral:rRNA from 1 species
AUUGAACGCUGGCGGCAGGCCUAACACAUGCAAGUCGAACGGUAACAGGAAACAGCUUGCUGUUUCGCUGACGAGUGGCGGACGGGUGAGUAAUGUCUGGGAAACUGCCUGAUGGAGGGGGAUAACUACUGGAAACGGUAGCUAAUACCGCAUAACGUCGCAAGACCAAAGAGGGGGACCUUCGGGCCUCUUGCCAUCGGAUGUGCCCAGAUGGGAUUAGCUAGUUGGUGGGGUAACGGCUCACCAAGGCGACGAUCCCUAGCUGGUCUGAGAGGAUGACCAGCCACACUGGAACUGAGACACGGUCCAGACUCCUACGGGAGGCAGCAGUGGGGAAUAUUGCACAAUGGGCGCAAGCCUGAUGCAGCCAUGCCGCGUGUAUGAAGAAGGCCUUCGGGUUGUAAAGUACUUUCAGCGGGGAGGAAGGGAGUAAAGUUAAUACCUUUGCUCAUUGACGUUACCCGCAGAAGAAGCACCGGCUAACUCCGUGCCAGCAGCCGCGGUAA